rnacentral:rRNA from 1 species
GACGACCCGCUGAACUUAAGCAUAUCAAUAAGCGGAGGAAAAGAAACUAACAAGGAUUCCCCUAGUAACGGCGAGUGAAGAGGGAAUAGCCCAGCACCGAAGCCUGUGGCAGUUUUGCCGUUAGGCAAUGUGGUGUUUAGGCCGGCUCGCGGAACUGUCGCUCCAUUCUAAGUCCAGCUUUGAGUAUGGUUUCUGGACUUGGCCCAUAGAGGGUGAAAGGCCCGUUCGAAUGGAGGAUAAGAUAAGUGGGCAGUUUACCAUGCCGGUCUUCGAGUCGGGUUGUUUGAGAAUGCAGCCCAAAGUGGGUGGUAAACUCCAUCCAAGGCUAAAUAUUAGCACGAGUCCGAUAGCGAACAAGUACCGUGAGGGAAAGUUGAAAAGUACUUUGAAGAGAGAGUAAACAGUACGUGAAACCGCAUAGAGGUAAACAGGUGGCGUCAAGCUGCAAGCCUAGAGGAUUCAGUCGGUCAGGAUUUUGUGUAUGCGCCUGGCGCAUCUAUCAGUCAGAGUAAGAUAUGGUGGUCCACUGGAUAAGAGUGGAUCUGGCCGCAAGGUCAAGAUUUGCGUUCCGUAUUGUUGGCGGAGCUUGCUGCCUGUCUGUGGACUGCCUGGCCGAUGCACUUUCUCUAUGGUGAACACCACGACCGGUGGUACUGCCAGUCUGCUGUAGCCAAGUCGUGUUCAGUCAGCAUCUGAUGUUGGUUGGGCUUCGAUCAUAGGCAAAUUCAGUGAACGGUGUUCGGGUGUUUACGCACUCGUUCAUGUUAUCGGGCACUGGUUGUCAACGGGUCUGUAUGUCGACAAUUGUAGUAGUAGUAGCUGUCAGAUGACCUGGUGGGCUAUGGUGGUAAAAAUAACUGUGUAGGGCACUGGUGAUUUCGGCCUCGAAUUUGGUUGGUGCACACACUGCAUGUGGGUGAGGAGGGUCGUUGCAGUCUGCCUUAAUUGGGUUUGAGCGUCGUGUUGCCUGCGCAAAGUGGGUCCGGCGGUGGCCUGGUUUUGGAUGGUAUUGUUAACGGCGUUUCUUGUGCAAAUCAAUGAGGGCCUUACAGUCAGUGGUGUAGUGGUAGACGAGCUAUCUGACCCGUCUUGAAACACGGACCAAGGAGUUUAACAUGUGCGCAAGUCAAUGGGUCCUACGAAACCCAAAGGCGAAAUGAAAGUGAAGCUUCGGCUUGUCCGGGGUGUGGUGAGAUCCUGCUGUUUCUCGCAUCUGCACUUGUGCAUUGUGUCAGCACCAG